UUUUGUUCGCGAGCCCAGUGUGCAAAUAUUUUCGACUGCAGGCCUCAUUAACAGAAGUGUCACUGGUGCUGCAUCAAACAGGACAAAAACGGAGGCCAAGCCACCUUUGGAUACAACAAAAUAUGACAUUCUGAAAGCAUUUUUCAGGCACUACCUCGAGCGCCGAUGCAGCACCGAGAAGAAAUUGCAACAAGACACAGUUGCCUUGGCAAAAUAGUCGCCUGUAAGAUAGCAGACAUCAUGAAGGGACAGAAGAAGCAUAUGCAGUUUUGAUUUUGAGAAUAUAUUUGCACAUAUAUAUGCCUCAAU
rnacentral:lncRNA from 1 species